rnacentral:sRNA from 1 species
CACAACACCACCAUAAAAUUCAGUCUUCCGCAGCGUAACCCUACCCAACCUCGCGUAGCUUCUACCCCCAAACUGUCGUAGGCGACGACGGCGACGGCGGCGACGACGAGCAGAACAAGAGUGAAACCCUAAUUCCCUAAUCUUUCUCCUACCUUGGAAGCUUUAGUUACGGUAGCCAGCAUAUUGAUUUUAACACGGGAUUUGCAAGUCCUAUUUGAAGUGAUUAGUGGGGGAAGAUUGAAGUUUUGCUUUGAAAUAAUUGACAUUGAUUUUAUGAAUAAUAGUGAGUUGGCGGUUGGUUGUCACUUCUGUGCACGAGGGCAAAGCCAGCAAGCAUGUGGUAGUUGUUGUUUUAUGUGAGAAGAAAAAGCGAUACAUUUGUAAACUUUUGCAAGUAAAAU